AAUAGAGCGCUGUCAAACUCAGUUUCACUAAGGGCCACAUUGGAAAAUAAGAAUCACAUCAAAAGCCAGACAUUUUGAGUUUAUUGACAUGCUUUUAUUUUGAAAAAGUCAACUAUCUUUGACUGUAUUAUUGCAUGUCUUAUAAAGUAUUCUCCCUUAUUGUUUGGUCAACACAAAGCCCUAAAAAUGCUCCCUA